AAUGAACGCUGGCGGCGUGCUUAACACAUGCAAGUCGAACGAGAAAGGGAUUGCUUGCAGUCCUGAGUAGAGUGGCGCACGGGUGAGUGACACGUAGAUAAUCUGCCUUCAAGCCUGGGAUAACUAUUCGAAAGGGUAGCUAAUACCGGAUAAAGUUGAAUAACAUAAGUUAUUUUAUGAAAGAUUGCCUCUUCUUGAAAGCAAUUGUUUGGGGAUGAGUUUGCGUACCAUUAGCUUGUUGGUGGGGUAAAGGCCUACCAAGGCAACGAUGGUUAGCUGGUCUGAGAGGAUGAUCAGUCACACUGGAACUGGAACACGGUCCAG
rnacentral:rRNA from 1 species